rnacentral:tRNA from 1 species
GGCAUCGCUGUUCAGCGGCAGAAAUCUUGCCUCCCAUGCAGAAGACCCAGGUUCAAUUCCUGGCCAUGCCC